AUGAGAUUUCCCAUUUCUUUAAGAAAGUAAGAUCCCUGAGAGAUGAUCAGGUAGAUAGGUCAGGAGUGGAAGUACAGUGAUGUAUGGAGCGGACUGAUACUAAUCGAUCGAGGACUUAACCAAU
rnacentral:rRNA from 1 species